AGGACUAACGCUGGCGGCGUGCCUAACACAUGCAAGUCGAGCGGGGUAGCAAUACCCAGCGGCAGACGGGUGAGUAACGCGUGGUCAACCUUCCGUUGAAUGGGGGAUAACUAGCCGAAAGGUUAGCUAAUACCGCAUACGAUCUUUUGAAGGCAUCUUUAAAAGAUGAAAGGAGCAAUUCGUUCAACGACGGGACCGCGUCCCAUUAGCUAGAUGGUGGGGUAAUGGCCUACCAUGGCAACGAUGGGUAGCUGGUUUGAGAGAGCGACCAGCCACACUGGGACUGAGAAACGGCCCAGACUCCUACGGGAGGCAGCAGUGAGGAAUUUUUCCGCAAUGGGCGAAAGCCUGACGGAGCGACGCCGCGUGUGGGAAGAAGGCCUUCGGGGUCGUAAACCGACUGUCGAAGGGGACGAUAAUGACGGUACCCUUGGAGGAAGCCCCGGCUAACUACGCGCCAGCAGCCGC
rnacentral:rRNA from 1 species